rnacentral:rRNA from 1 species
GUGGAUUAGAUACCCGGGUAGUCCUAGCCGUAAACGAUGGACACUAGGUGUGGGGGGAGUCGAAUCCCUCUGUGCCGCAGCUAACGCGUUAAGUGUCCCGCCUGGGGAGUACGGCCGCAAGGCUAAAACUCAAAAGAAUUGACGGGGGCCCGCGCAAGCAGCGGAGCAUGUUCUUUAAUUCGAUGCAACGCGAAGAACCUUACCUGGACUUGACAUGGUGCUGCAAGCGCACGGAAACGUGUGACCUUCGAGGGUGCACCACAGAUGCUGCACGGCUGUCGCCAACU